rnacentral:rRNA from 1 species
AUUGAACGCUGGCGGCAGGCCUAACACAUGCCAGUCGAGCGGAGCGGCGAACGGGUGAGUAAUGCCUAGGAAUCUGCCUGGUACUGGGGGAUAACGUCCGGAACCGGGCGCUACUACCGCAUACUCUCAGAUGAGCCUAUGUGGGCUUAGCUAGUUGGUGGGGGAAAGGCCUACCAACGCGACGAUCCCUAACUGGUCUGAGAGGAGGAUCAGUCACACUGGAACUGAGACACGGGCCAGACUCCUACGGGAGGCAGCAGUGGGGAAUAUUGGACAAGGGGCGAAAGCCUGAUCCAGCCAUGCCGCGUGUGUGAAGAAGGUCUUCGGAUUGUAAAGCACUUUAAGUUGGGAGGCGUUACCAACAGAAUAAGCACCGGCUAACAACGUGCCAGCAGCCGCGGUAAUAC